rnacentral:lncRNA from 1 species
GGUAUGAGGGGUUAUGGGGGUAUAUGGGGCGGUUGUGGGGGGUUAUGGGGCGGUAUGGGGGGUGACGCGGGGAUGAGGGGUGGUUAUGGGGUCGGUUCCGUACCGGGUUCGGUUCGGGGUUCGGUCGGGGUUCGGUUCUGGUUCCGGUUCCGGGUUGGGUUCCGGUUCCGGGUUCGGUUUCGGUUGGUUUCCGGUUCCGUUCCGGGUUCGGUUUCGGGUUGGGUUCCGGUGCGGUUGGCGGUUGGGUUCCGCUUCCGGGUUGGGCUGGUGGUUCCGGUUCCGGGUUGGAUUCCAGUUGGUCGUUGUGUUCUGGUUGGGGGUUGGUUCCGGUUCCGGUUGGGGGUUGGGUUCCGGUUGGGGGUUGGGUUGGUGGUUCCGGUUCUGGUUCUCGGCCGGUGGUGUCGCUGUGGGUUCGGCUGUCGCUGUCGGUUGAGCGCCUCCCGCGGUUCCGCGACCGCUGCGGGGGAAACGGCGGCGCUGUGGGGCUGCAGCUCUGCUUCCAACCGCGCCUCCGCAGCCCCACCUACACCGGUACUGCCCCAUAGCUGCCCCAUAGCGGCCCCACAGCUGCCCCAUAGAUACCCCAUAGCGGCCCCAUAGCUGCAGCUCUGCUUCCAACCGCGCCUCCGCAGCCACGCCUACACCGGUACUGCCCCAUAGCUGCCCCAUAGCUGCCCCAUAGGAACCCCAUAGAUACCCCAUAGAUACCCCAUAGCUGCCCCAUAGCUGCAGCUCUGCUUCCAACUGCGCCUCCGCAGCCACGCAUACACCGGUACUGCCCCAUAGCUGCCCCAUAGGGACCCCAUAGGAACCCCAUAGGUACCCCAUAGCUGCCCCAUAGCUGCAGCUCUGCUUCCAACCGCGCCUCCGCAGCCACGCAUACACCGGUACUGCCCCAUAGCUGCCCCAUAGCGGCCCCACAGCUGCCCCAUAGAUACCCCAUAGCUGCAGCUCUGCUUCCAACCGCGCCUCCGCAGCCACGCAUACACCGGUACUGCCCCAUAGCUGCCCCAUAGCUGCCCCACAGCUGCCCCAUAGG